GGAUUAGAUACCCUGGUAGUCCACGCCGUAAACGAUGGUCACUAGCUGUUCGGACUUCGGUCUGAGUGGCUAAGCGAAAGUGAUAAGUGACCCACCUGGGGAGUACGUUCGCAAGAAUGAAACUCAAAGGAAUUGACGGGGGCCCGCACAAGCGGUGGAGCAUGUGGUUUAAUUCGAUGAUACGCGAGGAACCUUACCAGGGCUUAAAUGUAAGUUGCAUUAGCUAGAGAUAGCUAUUUCUUCGGACUACUUACAAGGUGCUGCAUGGUUGUCGUCAGCUCGUGCCG
rnacentral:rRNA from 1 species